GAUGAACGCUGGCGGCGUGCCUAAUACAUGCAAGUCGAGCGAACAGAUGAGGAGCUUGCUCCUCUGACGUUAGCGGCGGACGGGUGAGUAACACGUGGAUAACCUACCUAUAAGACUGGGAUAACUUCGGGAAACCGGAGCUAAUACCGGAUAAUAUAUUGAACCGCAUGGUUCAAUAGUGAAAGACGGUUUUGCUGCCACUUAUAGAUGGAUCCGCGCCGCAUUAGCUAGUUGGUAAGGUAACGGCUUACCAAGGCAACGAUGCGUAGCCGACCUGAGAGGGUGAUUGGCCACACUGGAACUGAGACACGGUCCAGACUCCUACGGGAGGCAGCAGUAGGGAAUCUUCCGCAAUGGGCGAAAGCCUGACGGAGCAACGCCGCGUGAGUGAUGAAGGUCUUCGGAUCGUAAAACUCUGUUAUUAGGGAAGAACAAAUGUGUAAGUAACUAUGCACGUCUUGACGGUACCUAAUCAGAAAGCCACGGCUAACUACGUG
rnacentral:rRNA from 1 species